CUUGAAUAAAAGUAGUUAAGUUCUCCAUAACUCAAAGAAUUUGGCAGUUAAUAAAAUUUUCAGAGGAACCUGUAUAUUAAUUGAUAAACCACGAUAAUUUAUACCUCUAUUAAAAUUUAUAUAUCUCUAUAUUUAUGAAUGUUUUAAAAGAAUAUAUUUUCUUUUAGGUAAGUCUUUAAUUUUAGGUCAAGGUGUAGUUUUAUAGGGGUUUAUAUGGGUUACUUUAUUAUUUAUUAGCUAUAAAAUUCUUAGAAUAUUUUAAGGAUUUGAAAGUAAUUUUAAUUAAUUAAUUAAGGUGAAUUUUU
rnacentral:rRNA from 1 species